CAGGAUAUAAAUCUUCAAUAAAAAUUUCAUAAUGAUGUAUGAAAAAUUGUGGGAUCCAAGCUGUUCACAAACAAACGGGCAAAAACAUAACCGCUGCCCAACUUCGUUGGUGGAGGUAAAACCCAUUUAAGACAAAUUGGGUUUAGAGCAUUUCAACUUUGAUGCAAAGUGAGUUGUCAUCUGGUUUAAAUCUGUUUUAAGACAUUUAAAAUGCGUCAGAGAUUGUAAUAAGUAAAAAUUGAUGUCAUUGUCUCCUUGACAAAUUCAGCAUUUCAAAUAGUUGCUGAUCACUCUGUCAAACAAACAAAUCUGUUGCAGGUGAUUAAAGGACUAAAAUAAUAAUGUAUGAAUUUAAGCAUACAAAGUAAAGCAAGCGUACAACGUAACCAAAAUUAAAGGAUGUAACUUUUUGUUUGAGGAAUGCGCCUGUUUUCUUGUGUUCUGUGGCUUUGCAGUGGAUGGAAGAACUCUUAGAUGCAUGACAGCACUGAUUGAAGUGUAAUACUCACGUGUCCACUUUACAAACUGUACAUUCUUAACGUUUGCUGAAAAAGCUUUUAGUCAAAUUUGCUCCUUUGUUUUUUUUGACAUUGAAAUAAAUACUGUUUUUGUUGAAUGUGAGCUUCUCCUGUAUGUUGUGCUUUAAUUUCUUUUUUCCAAACCCACUUUCUGUAAAGGAAUUGAAAUAAGUUCUGAUUUUAUUAUACUGUGAAGUACUUUUUUAAGGUUUUGGCUACCUUUCUUCAAAAGAAUAUCAUCACUUCAGUUUUUGCUAUAAAACGAGGAGGGAUGCAUAGAAAUCCAUGCUGCCAUUGAUAAGCUACUCCCUCAGCGUCUCGGUGCCUUAUGCAAACUCUGUCUUUCCAGCGUUAGCACAUUUUUUUUUUUUUUUUUAAAUAUCUGAUCUCUUCUUAAAGAAUCUGUUUGGCUCCAGCCUUUAGUGGUUGACAUUUGGAGAACUGCACUUUGAAUCACCAUUUUCACUCUGUUUUCACUGUUUGUUCUGCUGUAAAAAUGCACUGACUUUGAAGGCAUCCUGAUGUAGAGAAAUGUGAUAAUCAAAUAAAUUGUGUAUCAGAUG